GCCGGGGUCUCCUAGCCUGGUAGGGAGCAGGCCUGGAGAGCCUGUGGCCCAAUUAGGGCCGCGUGGGUUCAAAUCCCACCCCCGGCGCCA
rnacentral:tRNA from 1 species